CAGAGGGUUUCUAAAAACAGACGUGACACAGCGAGCGGCAGCAGGCCUCUGCAGCCUCACUAUCUGUGUUAGCUCCUUUGGUUAGUUUGGGUUAGUUGAGGUUAGUUACAGUUAGUUUACUUUAGUUAAAGCAACGUUUAACCUGCUGGUUUCAGACAUGAAUGCCAUGGAGAACCUGGAGAAGCAGCUGAUCUGCCCCAUCUGUCUGGAGAUGUUCACCAAGCCGGUGGUGAUCCUGCCCUGCCAACACAACCUCUGCAGGAAGUGUGCCAACGACGUUUUCACGGCAUCGAACCCGUACCUCCCGACCCGAGGCGGCUCUCUGGCGUCGGGUGGCCGGUUCCGCUGCCCGUCCUGCAGACAUGAGGUGGUUCUGGACCGGCACGGGGUCUACGGGCUGCAGAGGAACCUGCUGGUGGAGAAUAUCAUCGACAUGUUCAAGCAGGAGACCAGCAGCAGCAGCAGCAGCACGCCGGCCACCGAGAGGAAGGAGGAGUCGCCCAUGUGUGAUGUGCACGAGGAGGAGAAGAUCAACAUCUACUGCAUGACGCACGGCGUGCCCACCUGCUCCAUGUGCAAGGUGUUCGGGGCGCACAAGGACUGCGAGGUGGCGCCCAUCUCCAGCAUCUACCAGACCAAGAAGUCAGAGCUGAGUGACGGGAUAGCGAUGAUGGUGGGGAACAACGACCGGAUGCAGGGCAUCGUCAGUCAGCUGGAGGAGGCCUGCCGGGCCAUAGAGGAGAACGGCCGGCGGCAGAAGACCCUGGUGUGUGAGAAGUUUGACCUGCUGUACUCGGUGCUGGAGGGGAAGAAGCGGGAGAUGAGUCAGAAGGUGACGGUGGAGCAGGAGGAGAAACUGAACUACAUCCGAGGACUCAACAAGAAGUACGGAGACCACCUGGAGGAGAGCUGCAAGAUGGUGGAGCAGGGCAUCCAGACCAUGGAGGAGCCGGAGAUGGCUCUGUUCCUGCAGAACACCAAGCCGCUGCUCAAGAAGCUCACAGACGCUUGCAGCACGGCUCACCUGGACAAAGUGGAGCGUGGCUACGAGAACAUGGACCACUUCAGCGUGGAGUUCACGAAGGAGGGCCGGGCGCUGAAGAGCCUGGACUUCCUGCAGGGUGAGGGUCCGACAUCUCUAACAGACCCUGUUCUGCUCUCUUGGGUUCUCCCUCUGCUGUAGCGGGUCCUGAAGGUUCUGACACCGGAACACUGUGACAUCACUAUGGAAUACUCGCGCUCCAACACAUUACGACGAAGACGAGGACGAGGAUGAAGAGGAAGGAGAAGGUGAGGAAGCGGGGGGUGCAGUGACGACUCCCCUUCAGCAGCAAUCGGCCUCCACCUGAACAACACCCGACAGCAGAUGAUCUGCAGGUGUCUCCAGGUGUCUCCAGGAGUCUCCAGGCUCUGAGGGAGAGGCUAUCGGAUCAGUUUCUCUGCUUUAACCCACGUGUGUCUCUGACCUUCGGCUGCUUCAUUAGCCCCCCCCGCCCCCACCCACCCCCACCCCACCCCCGCUCGUAUACUUUUUUAUGACUGAUGAAACUUUAUCACUGUGACAUUUCAACAUCUUCUCCAGCCUUUAGUCUCAGGUGCACAGGUGUGUGUCCCUCGCUUGAUAGUACAGCACGUGAUGGAUAGUAUGUUAUGUCUCAUUAAAGCUGUGCACACAGA